AUUGAACGCUGGCGGCAGGCCUAACACAUGCAAGUCGAGCGAGUGGCGGACGGGUGAGUAAUGUAUGGGAACCUGCCCGAUGGAGGGGGAUAACUACUGGAAACGGUGGCUAAUACCGCAUACCAUCGGAUGAACCCAGAUGGGAUUAGCUAGUAGGUGGGGUAACGGCUCACCUAGGCGACGAUCCCUAGCUGGUCUGAGAGGAUGAACAGCCACAUUGGAACUGAGACACGGCCCAGACUCCUACGGGAGGCAGCAGUGGGGAAUAUUGCACAAUGGGCGCAAGCCUGAUGCAGCCAUGCCGCGUGUAUGAAGAAGGCCUUCGGGUUGUAAAGUACUUUCAGCGGGGAGGCGUUACCCGCAGAAGAAGCAACGGCUAACUCCGUGCCAGCCGCCGCGGUAAUAC
rnacentral:rRNA from 1 species